GACGAACCACACAAACGUUAUUCGGAAUUACUGGGCUUAAAGGGUGCGUAGGCGGCGCAGAAAGUAGGGUGUGAAAUCCCUCGGCUCAACCGAGGAACUGCGCCCUAAACUACUGUGCUCGAGGGAGGUAGAGGUGAGCGGAACUUAGGGUGGAGCGGUGAAAUGCGUUGAUAUCCUAAGGAACACCGGUGGCGAAGGCGGGUCUCUGGGCCGAUACUGACGCUGAGGAGCGAAAGCAUGGGGAGCGAACAGG
rnacentral:rRNA from 1 species